rnacentral:rRNA from 1 species
UGGGGACUUUUCCGCAAUGGGCGAAAGCCUGACGGAGCAAUACCGCGUGAGGGAGGAAGGCUUUUGGGUUGUAAACCUCUUUUGUUAAGGAAGAAUCAAGUGACGGUACUUAACGAAUAAGCAUCGGCUAACUCCGUGCCAGCAGCCGCGGUAAUACGGAGGAUGCAAGCGUUAUCCGGAAUCAUUGGGCGUAAAGCGUCCGCAGGUGGUUAAUCAAGUCUGCUGUUAAAGACAGAAGCUCAACUUCUGAAGGGCGGAGGAAACUGGUUAACUAGAGUAUGGUAGGGGUUGAGGGAAUUCCCAGUGUAGCGGUGAAAUGCGUAGAGAUUGGGAAGAACACCAGUGGCGAAGGCGCUCAACUGGGCCAUAACUGACACUCAGGGACGAAAGCUAGGGUAGCGAAAGGGAUUAGAUACCCCCGUAGUCC